ACGAACGCUGGCGGCGUGCCUAAUACAUGCAAGUCGAACGCUUCUUUUUCCACCGGAGCUUGCUCCACCGGAAAAAGAGGAGUGGCGAACGGGUGAGUAACACGUGGGUAACCUGCCCAUCAGAAGGGGAUAACACUUGGAAACAGGUGCUAAUACCGUAUAACAAUCGAAACCGCAUGGUUUUGAUUUGAAAGGCGCUUUCGGGUGUCGCUGAUGGAUGGACCCGCGGUGCAUUAGCUAGUUGGUGAGGUAACGGCUCACCAAGGCGACGAUGCAUAGCCGACCUGAGAGGGUGAUCGGCCACAUUGGGACUGAGACACGGCCCAAACUCCUACGGGAGGCAGCAGUAGGGAAUCUUCGGCAAUGGACGAAAGUCUGACCGAGCAACGCCGCGUGAGUGAAGAAGGUUUUCGGAUCGUAAAACUCUGUUGUUAGAGAAGAACAAGGAUGAGAGUAACUGUUCAUCCCUUGACGGUAUCUAACCAGAAAGCCACGGCUAACUACGUGCCAGCAGCCGCGGUAAUACGUAGGUGGCAAGCGUUGUCCGGAUUUAUUGGGCGUAAAGCGAGCGCAGGCGGUUUCUUAAGUCUGAUGUGAAAGCCCCCGGCUCAACCGGGGAGGGUCAUUGGAAACUGGGAGACUUGAGUGCAGAAGAGGAGAGUGGAAUUCCAUGUGUAGCGGUGAAAUGCGUAGAUAUAUGGAGGAACACCAGUGGCGAAGGCGGCUCUCUGGUCUGUAACUGACGCUGAGGCUCGAAAGCGUGGGGAGCAAACAGGAUUAGAUACCCUGGUAGUCCACGCCGUAAACGAUGAGUGCUAAGUGUUGGAGGGUUUCCGCCCUUCAGUGCUGCAGCUAACGCAUUAAGCACUCCGCCUGGGGAGUACGACCGCAAGGUUGAAACUCAAAGGAAUUGACGGGGGCCCGCACAAGCGGUGGAGCAUGUGGUUUAAUUCGAAGCAACGCGAAGAACCUUACCAGGGCUUGACAUCCUACUAACGAAGUAGAGAUACAUUAGGUGCCCUUCGGGGAAAGUAGAGACAGGUGGUGCAUGGUUGUCGUCAGCUCGUGUCGUGAGAUGUUGGGUUAAGUCCCGCAACGAGCGCAACCCUUAUUGUUAGUUGCCAUCAUUUAGUUGGGCACUCUAGCGAGACUGCCGGUAAUAAACCGGAGGAAGGUGGGGAUGACGUCAAAUCAUCAUGCCCCUUAUGACCUGGGCUACACACGUGCUACAAUGGGAAGUACAACGAGUCGCAAAGUCGCGAGGCUAAGCUAAUCUCUUAAAGCUUCUCUCAGUUCGGAUUGUAGGCUGCAACUCGCCUACAUGAAGCCGGAAUCGCUAGUAAUCGCGGAUCAGCACGCCGCGGUGAAUACGUUCCCGGGCCUUGUACACACCGCCCGUCACACCACGAGAGUUUGUAACACCCGAAGUCGGUGAGGUAACCUUUUGGAGCCAGCCGCCUAAGGUGGGAUAGAUGAUUGGGGUG
rnacentral:rRNA from 1 species